rnacentral:rRNA from 1 species
UCCGGGCUUUUGCAUGCAGGACAAUGUGGUGUUAAAGCUAAUACCUGAAGCUGCAAGUCUACCCGAAGUCCAACUCCGAUUGUGGCUUUGGAUUUUGCCCAUAGCGGGUGAUAGGCCCGUACGGGUAGACCGUUGUGAUAUAGCAGUUUUCAGAUGUAUUUGCUUUCGAGUCGGAUUGCUUGAGAAUGCAGUCCAAAGUGGGUGGUAAACUCCAUCCAAGGCUAAAUACUGGCACGAGUCCGAUAGUAGACAAGUACCGUGAGGGAAAGUUGAAAAGUACUCUGAAGAGAGAGUAAAUAGUACGUGAAGCCGGUUGCAGGGAAGCUGGUGGAGUCAAGCUUCAUGCUUGAGUGAUUUGUGUCUGUGGCAUUGUGUUGUAUGAUUAUAAGCCCUAAUCAACUUGGAAUUAGUUGGAUGCAUUUUUGUGUUACAAGUCAUUCUGGGGGGUUGUGUGUUUGUAUUUGGGCUCAUUGAAUCUGUCACAGACACUCUAUCUCUCGCUGCAUAAAUCACAGUCGGUAGCAUUUUUGUGCUACGUGCUGUAUGGUCAUCUAACUGUACUUUGAUUGGCUUAAUUGUCUAUCGGGUGCAGAAUGGCAGGUGGAUUAUAUUGGUUUUAUACUUAUAUACUCUUAUUGUGAUAUAUAUCGGCUGAUGACCAUGCAGUUUCGUUGCUAUCGUUAAUACAUGAUACAUUAUCUAAGGGUAAAGUGUCAUUAAUAACUGUGAUUCUGAGGUAGACCUUCCACCAGAC